GCUGCGCAUGGUGGCACAUGCCUGUAGUCCCAGCUACUGGGGAGCUGAGGCAGGAGGAUCGCUUGAGCCCAGGAGUUCGAGACUGCAGUGAGCCAUGAUUGCACCAUUGCACUCCAGCCUGGGCAACAGAGUAAGACUCUGUCUCUA
ensembl:misc_RNA Metazoa_SRP Metazoan signal recognition particle RNA